rnacentral:rRNA from 1 species
CAGCCGCCGCGGUAAUACGAAGGGUGCAAGCGUUAAUCGGAAUUACUGGGCGUAAAGCGUGCGUAGGCGGUGAGUUAAGUCUGCUGUGAAAUCCCCGGGCUCAACCUGGGAAUGGCAGUGGAUACUGGCUCGCUAGAGUGUGUCAGAGGAUGGUGGAAUUCCCGGUGUAGCGGUGAAAUGCGUAGAUAUGCGGAGGAACACCGAUGGCGAAGGCAGCCCCCUGGGCCAACACUGACGCUCACGCACGAAAGCGUGGGGAGCAAACAGGAUUAGAUACCCCCGUAGUCCCUGUCUCUUAUAC